rnacentral:rRNA from 1 species
UCGGAUUGUAGUCUGCAACUCGACUACACGAAGNUGGAAUCGCUAGUAAUCGCGAAUCAGAAUGUCGCGGUGAAUACGUUCCCGGGUCUUGUACACACCGCCCGUCACACCAUGGGAGUCGGAUAUGCCCGAAGUCAGUGACCCAACCAUAUGGAGGGAGCUGCCGAAGGUGGAGCCGAUAACUGGGGUGAAGUCGUAACAAGGUAUC